AACCAGCGCAGACUGCCGUGCCCCAGGUAUCUGUGGGCGAGUAUCUCUUUGAGUGCCUCACUCUUAAGCUCAACUCAGAGG
rnacentral:pre_miRNA from 1 species